CGUUUAAAGCGAUCAGUCUCCGCUUUCUUCACAACCUGAUUGGCUGAAGGGCCUGCCAUUAUGACGUAAUCGUCCUUCAUUGUGACCGCACCGUGACGUCAGUGACCAUGGCCAUGGAAUGAGAUAGCGGUGUUUUAAGGCCAGUCGGUGGGAAUGAGAUGCCGAAGCAAGACAAAUCAAAAGCUAAGGGCAGCCCGUUCACCGCCUACGCUCUGCAGGGGCGCUCGCUAGACCAGCCCCUGGGCACCAAGCUCCCGGCUCUGCCAGGCUGCCAGAGCACGCUGUACAGGGGGACCCUCUGCGAGAAGUUGACGGUACCGUCCAGCGGCUUCACCCUCACCGAUCCCCAUGGGCACCUGCUGAAGUCCCAUUACAACAGCCUGUACGAUCCCAACCUCCGGCAGUAUUACUACCGCAAGGACAUGCUGGAACGGCUGAAGAAGGGAGGAUUCAUCACGGAGAACAAUAAAGUUAUUUGCUCGCUGAAGGACUUCAACGAGUACAGGCAGUAUCUCAUGAGUGUGAAGCUGGAUUAUGAGAGAAAUCACAAAAAAGAGCAGACGGCUCUGAUCAGGAGGCUCCAGGAGCCGGACGUGCUUCCCGAGGGCGUCUGCCUGGAGGACGUGAGGGAGUGGCUGCUGGAGGAAGGCAGGAAGAGCCUCUGGCAGCAAGACAGGAGCUGGAGGAAGAAGGACCUGGCGGAGGUGCAGGAGAGACAGGCGAGGCAGGUCAGAGACAGGGCUAGGAGCCGGGCAGAGGAGGAGGACCAGAAGGAGGUGGAGCCGUGCCCGAGCCUGGGACGGUGCGGGAGUCCGCAGGAGGAGGCAGACAGAUACAGGGAGCUGGAGUGGAAGCUGAAGGAGAGGGCGCUGCUGGAGAGGAUCGAGGAGGACGUGAAGAGUGAGGUUUCCAGGCAGCAGCUCCUGAGAGAGGCCGUGGAUGGGCGAGCCAGGAAGAGGCAGGAGCUCUUUGAAAAGAAGGUUGCUCUCCAUGAGCAGAUGCUGAGAGAGGUCAUAAGUGAAAGAGAAGAAUUUGAAAAAUCAAUAGCAGGAAGAUUUGAGAAGCAAAAAAUAAUAUCUGAAAUAAACCCAAACUUGAAACCAGCCCCUCCCAAGAGUGCUAAGCCGGAAGUUGUCAGAGCUGCCCCCAGGGGGCGCAACUGGACUAGACUCUGCAGAGGCCAGCGCGCCGGGUGCCCCAAAGACCGCUGCACCUCCCGGCCCCCGAGCAGCCCCCCUCCGCGUCCGGACGAGGCUCCGGCCCAUCUCCGUCAGGCAGGCGAGAAGAUCGGCCACAGCAGGACGACAGUUAAGGUGACGAGGAAGGAUGAGGAGGUGACAGACAGCCGGGAAGCAUCCUUUCUGCAUAUCAGCACGUCAGUGACGUCGGAGUCGUCUUCGGUGUCCGAGGGAGGCUUGAACGCGGGCUCGGUGCGCCAGCCCUCUGUCGUCCACCAGCUCUCCGACACACAUGGAGGCAUUGAAGAAACCCUUUAUGGAACAAAAAGCCUCAUGCCGGAAGCUGGGGAAGAGGUAUCUGCUGAUGAUUCCCUCUUGGCCAGGUCAGAGGCUGGUGGGGCUGGCGGGGCAGGAGUGAUGGAGAAUGGGGCCCUGCUUUGCUUAAAGGAGAUUCUGGGAAGCUCUCGGUCUUGCAUCAUGGCGAAGGUGGAGAGCGUGGUGUCGCAAGCUCUUGAGCAGGCUGUGACCCUCGGCUCAGAUGCCCGCAGCGAGGCCGAGCAAGAGGCGAUGCUAGCCAGCCCAGGACGGGUGAUCAGCCAUCCCAAAGCGAACGUCCUGUCCUCCGAAAUCGUGGACACCGUCAUUGACCACGUGAACUCGGCUCUCCUAAGGGACAGGCUCACGGAGUCGGCGAGAGGGCUAGUGAGGAGCUCUCUUACCUCCCUGGCCUCCGCUCAGGAUGCUGACAGCUUUGACCCAUCGGACUCCCGGGCCAUCAGCGACGUUUCCGAGAAGCUGGAUCCUUUCCUAUCUGACGUGGGAGAAUCUGCUUGCAAGCUGCUGGGCGGACAGAGGGAUGGCUUGCAGCCUGUGGCGUCCUCAGAGGGCGAAGCAGAGGACAUGGAGUCGGCGUUGGGAGACUUUGCAGCAGAGAUUAUCAGUGUCAUCCUGAAUGGGGUUAAAAGUGAGUCUGGCAGGGGAGCAGCCCCAGAUUCACCUUGGAGAUUCAGGAUAGGGUCCCUGAAGGCAAAUCAGGUGACUAUUAACAUUGUGUCUGCAGUGCUGGACAACUUAGAAAGCACUUUACUUGCCAAAAACAUCCAUCUUAUUUGUCCACCCAAAACAGAGAGGAGUGAUCCUAUAAGUGCUGAAUGUGAACACUGGCCAAAUGAAUCCGUCCAGUCAGGAGAUACCGGUGAGUGCGUGCUUGUGCGCUCUGAGACUGAGAGACUUCAAGAGGAAGCAGACUGCUUUGCCGAACAACCUCCAGCUGGUUUCGAGCCCAGCGCAGCGGUGACAACGUACAGUCCUCUGAAAGAUUUUCUGCUACCUGUGCAAAUUGUUUCCAACCCUGAGACACAACACCCAGGAACCUGGGUAUCCACUUCAAACCUUGACCUGAUCACCACUGACCUUGUUCGUGUUCUGUGUGCAAUGGGUCCUACUGAUGCAACGGUGCCACAUAUUUCACAUGCCAGUGUUGCAGAAGCAGAGCUCAGUUCUCCUGGAAGUGAAGGCAAUACUUUCGAGCCAAUCUGUGUGCCAGUAAGGGAAAGGUCCAGUUUGGAGACUGCUGCUUGGAGAAAGUCAUCUGAGCACAAAGACCCUACAGUUGCGUCUGGAGUAACUCGAGGCAUCUUAGGAUUGUCCAGACACAACAUUAUUGAACAAGCGGAACAUGUAGUUGUGGAUAUUAUCAAAAGCGCAAUAGACCAGUUAACCCCUGCAGGGCCUGGGUUUCCAACAACGGCCAAGUCACCCAGUCAAGCCAGAAUCAACACCUCGCUCUCCAAUUCUCUGGCACAGCAACCUAUGCUAAGUGCAGUGGCCUCUGAUGUUGUUGACACGGUCAUUUGUAAAGUUGAGCAGGCUCUAUCUUCAACAGAGUCUAACUUAUUUCAGGGUGAUGCCAGUAUAAAGGAUUCUGAAAGUGGGGGUGUCCAGCACCAAUCUACAGUGUGGAAGACUCCGUCUGAAGUAGCCUUUGCAGCAUCACAUAUCAACACCCUCUGUGAUGAUAUCACGAUGAGUGUCGUGGAGAAGCUGCAGGAUCUAAUGCCUUGUCAGACUGAGCCCUUGUCAUACUCAUCUUCCCAAGCUUCGACCUCUGCAAGCUCAUUGACUGCAGGUGAGCCUGACACAGUGGCACAGGGUUCUCAGCAGCAAGAGUCAGGAAUAAACACUUAUGCAAAGAAGAUUGUGAGUGCAAUUCUGUGCACGGUCAAGGGUGAGUUAGAAGGAAAAGAACAGGAAUUGGCAGAAACCAGUCUCUCAGGUUUUCAGAAAGAGGAAUUGACCCUGAACAGCUUUGCAAAGAAAGUUGUAGGUGCUAUCCUAGACACGGUCCAGAAUGAGAAAGAUAGUCAAGCUCUGCACAAAACAGCGAACAAUUGCUCUGAAGAAUGGAUACUCUACUCUGAAAUGGCAUCUUCAGUGUUGGACAAUUUAGAAUUUGUAGAGUGUGACGGUGGCACGUCAGGGACAAAGCUCAGUGCCACUGGUAGCCAUAGCAGUGUACUUACCUUGACUUGCUUAAAAAAAUCGAGUGAUCUUGCAGCCUCAAAGAAUGAAUUUAGAGAAACUCAAAACAUAUUAAAACCAUCCAGAUCCACCAUUAUCAGGCAAGCAGAACAAGCAGUCCUGGAAAUUAUUGAAAAGGCAGUAGAUCAAUUAAUUCUCUCAAUACCUACUGUUCCAACUAUGACUACAUCUUCCAGCCAAACCAGAAUAUCCAUGAAAUCGCCCUCAGACUCUCUGCUCAGCCUGGUGGCCUCUGAUGUCGUUGACACUGUUCUUGGGAAGAUUGAGUCCUCCACUUCCUCCUCUGCCACCAGUCUUAAAGACUCUGACAGCGCAGGUCAGCUGCCCAGCCCUGCUGUGCGGACUGUUGAGUCGAAUACAGUCUUCACUCCAUCAAAGAUCUACAUGAUCGCCACAGACAUUGUCAGGAGUGUCACAGAGAAGCUGCAGCAACUAAAAUCUCUCAGCAUUCAGACCUUUUCUGAAUCCUCCCCAGAAUCCCUGAGCUCUGUUAGCUCAGUGGUCAGAGAUGGGCUUCCUUCAGCUCCAGUGGACACUCAGCAGACAGAGACAGAGCUGAAGAGUUAUGCCAAAGAGGCUGUGAGUGCUGUGCUGCUGACAGUCCAGAGGGAGCUGGACAGAGAGAUUCCCCAGGGAAAGACAGGAGUCAGUCCUUCUGCAGAAAGCCUGCUUGUGUCUCAGGUUGUUUCCUCAGUCUUGGAGCAGAUAACAAACAGAACAUCAGAUGACAAUACAUCACAACCAGAAACUAGUUCUAUUGUCA
ensembl:lincRNA